GCAUGGCGGCGCGGGAAUCGAUCUAAGCCAUGCGAGUCAAAUGUUCUUCGUGAACAUGGCGUACUGCUCAGUAACACGUGGAUAACCUGCCUUAGGACUGGCAUAACCCCGGGAAACUGGGGAUAAUUCCGGAUAGUUCAUGGUAGCUGGAAUGCUCCAUGAUCGAAAGCUAUUGCGCCUAAGGAUGGGUCUGCGGUCUAUCAGGUAGUAGUGGGUGUAAUGUACCUACUAGCCGACGACGGAUACGGGUUGUGGGAGCAAGAGCCCGGAGAUGGAUUCUGAGACAUGAAUCCAGGCCCUACGGGGCGCAGCAGGCGCGAAAACUUUACAAUGCGGGAAACCGCGAUAAGGGGACACCGAGUGCCAGCAUCUUAUGUUGGCUGUCCGCAUGUAUAAAUCACAUGUGUUAGCAAGGGCCGGGCAAGACCGGUGCCAGCCGCCGCGGUAACACCGGCGGCCCGAGUGGUGGCCACUAUUAUUGGGUCUAAAGGGUCCGUAGCCGGUUUGGUCAGUCUUCCGGGAAAUCUGACGGCUUAACCGUUAGGCUUUCGGGGGAUACUACCAGGCUUGGGACCGGGAGAGGUAAGAGGUACUACGGGGGUAGGAGUGAAAUCUUGUAAUCCGCGUGGGACCACCAGUGGCGAAGGCGUCUUACCAGAACGGGUCCGACGGUGAGGGACGAAAGCUGGGGGCACGAACCGGUUUAGAUACCCGGGUAGUCCCAGCCGUAAACUAUGCUCGCUAGGUGUCAGGGACGGUGCGACCGUUUCUGGCGCCGCAGGGAAGCCGUGGAGCGAGCCACCUGGGAAGUACGGUCGCAAGGCUGAAACUUAAAGGAAUUGGCGGGGGAGCACUACAACGGGUGGAGCCUGCGGUUUAAUUGGACUCAACGCCGGAAAACUCACCGGGGGCGACAGCAAUAUGUAGGUCAAGCUAAAGACACAGCUA
rnacentral:rRNA from 1 species